ACUUAGACUAACAUAAGAAACUUUCAUUGUUAUAAUCGCUAGCGGCAGAAUAUGAUUAAACUUCUUUGUGAGCUUUAAAGAGAGAAAUGCAACAGUUAAGAAGAUCAGGAAAUUGCUUCCUGGCAGAGGUGGAUGUGAAUCAGGCUUUUCGUCAUACACUGAGUCUCCUUAGAGCUCUCGCAGAGUACUUGGAUGUGGCUGACACCCUGG